UGGGGAAUAUUGGGCAAUGGGCGCAAGCCUGACCCAGCAACGCCGCGUGAAGGAAGAAGGCUUUCGGGUUGUAAACUUCUUUUGUCGGGGACGAGUAGAAGACGGUACCUGGCGAAUAAGCCACGGCUAACUACGUGCCAGCAGCCGCGGUAAUACGUAGGUGGCAAGCGUUGUCCGGAUUUACUGGGUGUAAAGGGCGUGUAGCCGGGAAGGUAAGUCAGAUGUGAAAUCCACGGGCUUAACUCGUGAACUGCAUUUGAAACUACUUUUCUUGAGUAUCGGAGAGGCAAUCGGAAUUCCUAGUGUAGCGGUGAAAUGCGUAGAUAUUAGGAGGAACACCAGUGGCGAAGGCGGCCUGCUGGACGACAACUGACGCUGAGGCGCGAAAGCGUGGGGAGCAAACAGGAUUAGAUACCCUGUAGU
rnacentral:rRNA from 1 species